UUGAAUUGUGUAUUAACAUUUAAUUUCUGAUUUUCAGUUGAAUCUGUCUUCUUUCCAGAACUUCUUUCUUGGAUAAGUCCUAGACAUUCGUACCUCAGAGAAUACAUACUUCCGCCAAUACCUCUUAGCAAAAAUCAAUUGAAAGAUAAGAGAGACUGAGAAUGCACAUCUCUUCAGAAAGAAGAAAAGAAGGAAAAUAAUACUAGAUUUGCUCUACAAGAAGAAAUUAUAAAUGAUGUGAAAAUUCUGUCUGUGCUGCAUAACCGGCUCUUUUCUCUCAAGGACUUCUCAGCGCUUGGAACUGUACUCUGUGGGUACUUAAACUUUAAUUGAUGAUCAUAAGCAUUUCAUUUGUAUUUUCAUUUUCUUUCCUUGGCC
rnacentral:lncRNA from 1 species